GAUGAACGCUAGCGGCAGGCCUAACACAUGCAAGUCGAGGGGCAUCACGGAUUGCUUGCAAUCUGGUGGCGACCGGCGCACGGGUGCGUAACGCGUAUACAACCUACCUUUUUGGAGGGGAAUAGCCCAGAGAAAUUUGGAUUAAUACCCCAUAGUAUAUAGGAAUCUCCUGAUUUUUAUAUUUAAACAUUUAUGGCCAUUAGAUGGGUAUGCGUCCUAUUAGCUAGUUGGUGUGGUAACGGCACACCAAGGCUACGAUAGGUAGGGGUCCUGAGAGGGAGAUCCCCACACUGGUACUGAGACACGGACCAGACUCCUACGGGAGGCAGCAGUGAGGAAUAUUGGACAAUGGGCGAGAGCCUGAUCCAGCCAUGCCGCGUGCAGGAAGACUGCCCUAUGGGUUGUAAACUGCUUUUACAGAGGAAGAACCACCCCCACGUGUGGGGGUUUGACGGUACUCUGCGAAUAAGGAUCGGCUAACUCCGUG
rnacentral:rRNA from 1 species